GAUGAACGCUGGCGGCGUGCCUAACACAUGCAAGUCGAGCGAACGGACGAGAAGCUUGCUUUUUUGAUGUUAGCGGCGGACGGGCGAGUAACACGUGGAUAACCUACCUAUAAGACUGGGAUAACUUCGGGAAACCGGAGCUAAUACCGGAUAAUAUUUUGAACCGCAUGGUUCAAAAGUGAAAGACGGCCUUGCUGUCACUUAUAGAUGGAUCCGCGCUGCAUUAGCUAGUUGGUAAGGUAACGGCUUACCAAGGCAACGAUGCGUAGCCGACCUGAGAGGAUGAUCGGCCACACUGGAACUGAGACACGGUCCAGACUCCUACGGGAGGCAGCAGUAGGGAAUCUUCCGCAAUGGGCGAAAGCCUGACGGAGCAACGCCGCGUGAGUGAUGAAGGUCUUCGGAUCGUAAAGCUCUGUUAUUAGGGAAGAACAUCAGUAUAAGUAACUCUGCACGUCUUGACGGUACCUAAUCAGUAAGCACCGGCUAACUACGUG
rnacentral:rRNA from 1 species